UACGUAGGGGGCUAGCGUUAUCCGGAAUUACUGGGCGUAAAGGGUGCGUAGGUGGUUUCUUAAGUCAGAGGUGAAAGGCUACGGCUCAACCGUAGUAAGCCUUUGAAACUGGGAAACUUGAGUGCAGGAGAGGAGAGUGGAAUUCCUAGUGUAGCGGUGAAAUGCGUAGAUAUUAGGAGGAACACCAGUUGCGAAGGCGGCUCUCUGGACUGUAACUGACACUGAGGCACGAAAGCGUGGGGAGCAAACAGGAUUAGAUACCCCGGUAGUCCCUGAGCGGGCU
rnacentral:rRNA from 1 species